GGACGCGUAGCUCAGCUGGUUAGAGCGUUCGAUUCACAUUCGAAAGGUCAGAGGUUCGAAUCCUCUCGUGUCCACCA
rnacentral:tRNA from 1 species